rnacentral:misc_RNA from 1 species
GUUUUGUGUUUUAGGCGGCACGAAGUCCGCACGACAUUCUUUGACUGGAGUUUGGUAUGCGGCAUCGAGGACCCGGCGCGAACCGGUUCCCCUCCGCCGUGAAGGUUCACAGUGGGUUUGUGAGGUUUGGACGGGGACGGACGCCCGCUGCACGGCCCGUUUGGACCGGAGCAGGGCGAACCGCACCCCGUCGGAGAUACGUUAAUGAUCCUUCCGCAGGUUCACCUACGGAAA